rnacentral:rRNA from 1 species
GACGGAGGAUGCAAGUGUUAUCCGGAAUCACUGGGCGUAAAGCGUCUGUAGGUGGUUUAAUAAGUCAACUGUUAAAUCUUGAAGCUCAACUUCGAAAUCGCAGUCGAAACUAUUAGACUUGAGUAUAGUAGGGGUAAAGGGAAUUUCCAGUGGAGCGGUGAAAUGCGUAGAGAUUGGAAAGAACACCGAUGGCGAAGGCACUUUACUGGGCUAUUACUAACACUGAGAGACGAAAGCUAGGGUAGCGAAAGGG